GUUUGAUCCUGGCUCAGAUUGAACGCUGGCGGCAGGCUUAACACAUGCAAGUCGAGCGGGGGGAAGGUAGCUUGCUACUGGGACCUAGCGGCGGACGGGUGAGUAAUGCUUAGGAAUCUGCCUAUUAGUGGGGGGACAACAUCUCGAAAGGGAUGCUAAAUACCCGCAUACGUCCUACGGGAGAAAGCAGGGGAUCUUCGGACCUUGCGCUAAAUAGAUGAGCCUAAGUCGGAUUAGCUAGUUGGUGGGGUAAAGGCCUACCAAGGCGACGAUCUGUAGCGGGUCUGAGAGGAUGAUCCGCCACACUGGGACUGAGACACGGCCCAGACUCCUACGGGAGGCAGCAGUGGGGAAUAUUGGACAAUGGGGGGAACCCUGAUCCAGCCAUGCCGCGUGUGUGAAGAAGGCCUUAUGGUUGUAAAGCACUUUAAGCGAGGAGGAGGCUACUUUAGUUAAUACCUAGAGAUAGUGGACGUUACUCGCAGAAUAAGCACCGGCUAACUCUGUGCCAGCAGCCGCGGUAAUACAGAGGGUGCGAGCGUUAAUCGGAUUUACUGGGCGUAAAGCGUGCGUAGGCGGCUUAUUAAGUCGGAUGUGAAAUCCCCGAGCUUAACUUGGGAAUUGCAUUCG
rnacentral:rRNA from 1 species